AGGCUAUUAAAUAUCUGUCAAUUUAACAUUUGAUAGAAUUUUCGAGAUUUUUUAUGUGAAGUCAAUGGUUUCACUUAGUAAAAAUGGUCCUCAUAUUGUUACAUUUUCAUAAAAAAUGUCUUUUUUCUUUAAAAUUCCCCACCGGCGCUUAGCACCUGGGAAAUUACCCGCUCUUUUUUUUAAUUGCCCGCUCCUUUUACCCGCUCCUUUUUUAAUUACCCGCUCCUUUUACCCGCGACCCGCUCCUUUUACCCGCGACCCGCUACCCGCUCCAAUUAGAUACUCCCUUUAUAGAGCAUAGGGCCGCUAUAACGAGUAAAUACAAUACCCAAAACAAAUUACUUUCACUGCAAACAAAAACAAAAUAACCAAUAAAACUAUGCUUUUUAUUAAUUAUGCACAUAUAUUGCCAUCGGGACACGUUAAACCCCCAUCAAGUUGGAAAACCACAUCUACUUAACCCCCGGUUACCGCGGAUAGAAAACCCAAUACCCCUAGUUAACCUCCACCCCUGCUUCCUAUCCCUCGUUCCCCGAUCUACCAGGCCCUAUUCCCUCACGACAUUAUAUUAUAGAUAAUUUUAUCUAAUACUUUUAAUCCAGAUAUGUUUAUAUAACUUUGUCUAUGAUAAGAUAAAAGAAUUAACUAACUGUUAGGAUUUGAACUCAGUACAGGGGGGAAUUUCGUUCUCGACCAAUCAGCGCAUUUGUUGACAAUUUCGCUCUAAGUCAAUCAGAAUGCGUAAUUGGUUAUUGUAGGUAGUUUCCCUGCGAGCACAGAAAGCCCACUUCCGGUAAAAACACACAUUUGAACAGAAAAUAUAGGCCAGGGUCUUAAAUAAAGCUUCGAGGGAGUCAGGAUUUUUAGUUUUUUGAUCGGAUUCAACGUGACAAGGUAAAAUGCCUAGUUCUAAAAUUAUCGGCAGUCGAACUUACGCAUGAAUGCCGAUAACUUUGAAACUACGCAAUAAAACGCAAAUCCCAGUGGCAAAUUUUUAGAAAAUUUCUAAUCUACCUUGUCAUGUUAAAUCCAAUCAAAACAAUUUAAAAUCCUGACCCCCUCGAAGCUUUAUUCAAUUAAGCCCCUAUAUUUCUGUUCAAAUGCGU